CAAUUUCAAUUGACAUUCUUUUUGUCCGCUUAGAGAGCUCUUCUGACUCCUUGCCAUUUUCUUCAACUAUAUCAUCUGCUUCAUUUUCUCCAUCACUUUCCUGCCCUGACUCUCCACCAGAACCCCAUCGAUCUCCUCUGUCAUCAAAGUCCCAACGAUCUCCCACAGGUGGCAUCCAAAAGUCAUCUCCUUCAGAAUCACUGUUCUUAUCAGAAGAAUUCCUUACUUCAGAAAUGAUUUCCUCAACCAGCUUUCCCUCAUUUUUCUUCUUUUUCUUCUUCUUCUUCUGACCAUCUGUGCCAGACUUAAAUUCUUCCGGUUGCCUUUCCUCAACUUUCCCCAUUUCUUUUUGCUCCAGUUUGUUAAGGAACCGCUUGCCAUUGAUGUGCUUCCAGAUAUGUUC
rnacentral:misc_RNA from 1 species